GGUCCAAGCCCUACCUUUCAUUGCAGAUGAGGCCAUUUUUUUUGAAAAAAAAAUGAAGGAAAUAUUGAAGGAAAUAUUGCAAAUGAAGUGAAGAAAUAUUAUAGAUGAAGGAAAUAUUGAAAAAUUGAAACAAAUAUUAUAGAUGAAGGAAAUAUUGGAAAAUAUAUUGAAGGAAAUAUUGAAAAAUAUUGAAGAAGGAAAUAUUGCAAAUGAAGUGAAGAAUUGAAAGAACUUCACCAUAUUUAUAGAAGAAAAAAAUGUUUAAAAUAAAUUAAAAAAAAAAAAAAAAAAAAAAAACCAACGGCUAG
rnacentral:lncRNA from 1 species